GACCGCUUAGCUCAGUUGGUUAGAGCGUGGUGCUGAUAACACCAAGGCCACGGGUUCAAUUCCCGUUCGGUCU
rnacentral:tRNA from 1 species